rnacentral:rRNA from 1 species
UACGUAGGGUGCUAGCGUUGUUCGGAAUCAUUGGGCGUAAAGCGCGUGUAGGUGGUUUACUAAGUCGAUUGUGAAAUCCCUGGGCUUAACCGAGGAAGUGCAUUCGAAACUAGCAGACUAGAGGACGGCAGAGGAAGGUGGAAUUCCCAGUGUAGAGGUGAAAUUCGUAGAUAUUGGGAGGAAUACCGGCGGCGAAGGCGGCCUUCUGGACCGUUCCUGACACUGAGACGCGAAAGCGUGGGUAGCAAACAGG